UUCCAGAGAUGGAUUGGUGCCUUCGGGAACUCUGACACAGGUGCUGCAUGGCUGUCGUCAGCUCGUGUCGUGAGAUGUUGGGUUAAGUCCCGUAACGAGCGCAACCCUUGUCCUUAGUUACCAGCACGGUUAUGGUGGGCACUCUAAGGAGACUGCCGGUGACAAACCGGAGGAAGGUGGGGGAUGACGUCAAGUCAUCAUGGCCCUUACGGCCUGGGCUACACACGUGCUACAAUGGUCGGUACAAAGGGUUGCCAAGCCGCGAGGUGGAGCUAAUCCCAUAAAACCGAUCGUAGUCCGGAUCGCAGUCUGCAACUCGACUGCGUGAAGUCGGAAUCGCUAGUAAUCGUGAAUCAGAAUGUCACGGUGAAUACGUUCCCGGGCCUU
rnacentral:rRNA from 1 species